rnacentral:tRNA from 5 species
GCCGGAAUAACUCAGUCGGUAGAGUAACUGAUUCGUAAUCAGUAAGUCGCGUGUUCGAGUCACGUUUCCGGCU